rnacentral:rRNA from 1 species
UACGGAGGGUGCGAGCGUUAAUCGGAAUUACUGGGCGUAAAGCGUGCGCAGGCGGUUUGUUAAGCGAGAUGUGAAAGCCCCGGGCUCAACCUGGGAACCGCAUUUCGAACUGGCAAACUAGAGUCUUGUAGAGGGGGGUAGAAUUCCAGGUGUAGCGGUGAAAUGCGUAGAUAUCGGGAGGAACGCCGGUGGCGAAGGCAGCCCCCUGGGCCUGUACUGACGCUCAUGCACGAAAGCGUGGGGAGCAAACAGG